UACGUAGGGAGCAAGCGUUGUCCGGAAUCAUUGGGCGUAAAGCGCGCGUAGGCGGCCCUGUAAGUCCGUUGUGAAAGUCAAAGGCUCAACCUUUGAAUGCCGAUGGAUACUGCAGGGCUAGAGUCCGGAAGAGGCGAGUGGAAUUCCUGGUGUAGCGGUGAAAUGCGCAGAUAUCAGGAGGAACACCAAUGGCGAAGGCAGCUCGCUGGGACGGUACUGACGCUGAGACGCGAAAGCGUGGGGAGCAAACAGG
rnacentral:rRNA from 1 species